UACAGAGGUCCCGAGCGUUGUUCGGAUUCACUGGGCGUAAAGGGUGCGUAGGUGGCUUGGAAAGUUUGAUGUGAAAGCUCAGGGCUUAACCCUGAAAUGGCAUUGAAUACUGCCGGGCUGGAGGUUUGGAGGGGGGACUGGAAUUCUCGGUGUAGCAGUGAAAUGCGUAGAUAUCGAGAGGAACACCAGUGGCGAAGGCGAGUCCCUGGACAACACCUGACACUGAGGCACGAAAGCCGGGGGAGCAAACAGG
rnacentral:rRNA from 1 species